rnacentral:rRNA from 1 species
UCCACGCCCUAAACGAUGAACACUAGUCGUCGGGAUGCUAGUCAUCUCGGUGAUGCACUUAACAGAUUAAGUGUUCCGCCUGGGGAGUACGGUCGCAAGAUUAAAACUCAAAGGAAUAGACGGGGACCCGCACAAGUGGUGGAGCAUGUGGUUUAAUUCGAAGAUACGCGAAGAACCUUACCUAGCCUUGACAUUGAUAGAACGGACCAGAGAUGGACCGGUGCCUUUCGGGG